rnacentral:rRNA from 1 species
GCUAGUCGUGCGAGUUCAGACUCGCGGCAAAUAGCUCAGUAACACGUGGUCAAGCUACCCUACAGAGAACGAUAUCCUCGGGAAACUGAGGCCAAUAGUUCAUAAGGUUCCCAGGCUGGAGUGCCGGGAACUGGAAACGUUCCGACGCUGUAGGAUGCGGCUGCGGUCGAUUAGGUAGACGGUGGGGUAACGGCCCACCGUGCCGAUAAUCGGUACGGGUUGUGAGAGCAAGAGCCCGGAGACGGAAUCUGAGACAAGAUUCCGGGCCCUACGGGGCGCAGCAGGCGCGAAACCUUUACACUGCACGCAAGUGCGAUAAGGGGACUCCGAGUGCGAGGGCAUAUAGUCCUCGCUUUUCUGUACCGUAGGAAGGUACAGGAACAAGAGCUGGGCAAGACCGGUGCCAGCCGCCGCGGUAAUACCGGCAGCUCGAGUGAUGACCGAUUUUAUUGGGCCUAAAGCGUCCGUAGCUGGCCAAGCAAGUCUGUCGGGAAAUCCAUCCGCUCAACGGAUGGGCGUCCGGCGGAAACUCCUUGGCUUGGGACCGGAAGGCUCGAGGGGUACGUCUGGGGUAGGAGUGAAAUCCCGUAAUCCUGGACGGACCACCGAUGGCGAAAGCACCUCGAGAAGACGGAUCCGACAGUGAGGGACGAAAGCUAGGGUCUCGAACCGGAUUAGAUACCCGGGUAGUCCUAGCUGUAAACGAUGUUCGCUAGGUGUGGCACAGGCUACGAGCCUGUGCUGUGCCGUAGGGAAGCCGAGAAGCGAACCGCCUGGGAAGUACGUCCGCAAGGAUGAAA